rnacentral:lncRNA from 1 species
AGAAGAGUGAUGACCGCUUCACCAGGGAUUUUCUGGGGCUCGCUGGAGGAUGUGGCGGCGGCGGAGGGAGUGCCGGCGGCGGUGUGGAGUUUGGUGUUCCGUACGGUGGCGAUGAUUCUGGGAUGCUGAAGUAUGAAGGGUUUGGAUAUGGUGAAAGUUGCUCCGAUGAUUGGGGCAAUUGCUGUAGAACCGCACACCAUUACAGAGACUGUUAAUUAAUUUAGACUUGCU